GGUCUUUCACGAAGCGGCGGCUGCUCUCCAUCCAGGGGAAAUUGAGACCGCCAAGGCUGGAGACCGUGGGCACGGAGGGCAUGGCGGGUAGCGCGCUUGGCAGAGGCGGUGGCACGGCCCCGGGCAGCGGCCUGUGCGCCGGCACCCGGAUCACGCCUGCGGGCGCUAGGCUCAGGUUCACACUGUAAGAUCCCGCGUCCUCGAAGGGCGCGCCGAGGCCCGCAAAGGAGGCGGGCAGAGACGGGUACAAUGGAGUUGCAACCCCGGGACGACCCGGCGGAAUCCGCAGAAGCCCCUUGGACGCUACCGCCGCCGGAGGAACGAAAGGGGCGCACUACCCGGGGCAGGCUUCGCGCUGCCUGCGCGCGGGGCGAGGGGAGCACCGUAGCGUUCUCCGCGCCCCGGAUGACGCCGACCCGCGUGGGGAGAAUUCGCCCCCGCCCGGGUUUCGGCCGCGGCCUCGCGGCCACUUUGGAGACACUCCCUGGCUCCGGCCAGGCGGACCGAGGCGUGACUCGCAGGUGCCCACGCGUGCCAGCUGCGGCUGGGCUAGGGACGCGGGGUCGCCCGGUGGGGAGCGGGGACCUGACUCUCGUAAUUCGUUGCAGGAUGGAAGGGGGCUGUGGUCGCGCGUGGGAACCCGCUCGCGGCUCGGCGGGUCUAGGGACUUCGGGUUCCUGAAUGUCAAAGGCGCGGGCAGCUCCUAGAGCAAAUUGCGGGAUUUCUUUGGGAAACGCGACUGGUGAGCCCUUCCCGGCUCCAGUCCACUUUGGGCGCUGGAACCACUCCCCGUUCUGCUCGCGCCUCAGUGACUGUCUACCCGGCCCAGGGCACCGUGGACAGGACCGCACACGAAGUAGUCACCUUCCGCUGCAGCUUUGGGGAGACAAGCGGAAUCAUUUUCUUCCAGCGAAUUCUAAAAUCGUUAGGUGCAAACUCUUUGAGUGUCGCACCCCUGGCCUGGGUUCUUCCUCCCGCUCCUUGUGGUGUGGACAGUGGUGAGAGCUCGGAUGUGCUGUUGUUGGCCAGAAGUGUGUUCAAAUUUGGACUGGCCAUUUCCUCGCUGAGUGACCUUGAGAAAUUGACUCUAUAUAUUUAGAUUUCGGUUUUCUCGUUUGCAAAAAAGGAAAAUAAUGCAUGCAUGCGGGUUGUUCGUGAGCCGCGAGUGAGAUAUUGAGGGAGCGCAGAGCACUGGGCCUGGCACGUAGUAGGCACUGGGCAGCGUGGCUCACCUCCCACUCUAUCCCCCCAGAGUAAUGGCUGAUGUAUUAUUGUUGUGACUCUUGUUUAUUUUGUUGGCAGUUUAAUUUUAUUUGCAGGGGCUCAGUACGUUGGAGAGAAAGGUGUAUUUGUCUACCAGUAGGGUCAGUUUCAGAGGACGGGGAAAGACAGGAGGUGCAGGUUGGGGAUUCUUUCUCUCUUCUCCCAACAAUCCAAAGGCGUCAGGAUUUGCAGGGCCUCCAGGCCUGGGUCUGGAGUUAGGUCACUUGCCCGCUGUGUGACCUUGGGCAAAUUCCUGGCCCUUGCUAAGCCUUCCUGGUGGGUGUGGAGAGGGAGGCCCAACAGUGAGGAGUGAGAGCUGCAGGAUGUCUGGGGUCUGGGCAAGUGCUCCCUCACUCCCUUCCAGCGACAACGACCCUCAGAUGGGGUAGAUGCCAUUGCCCUGGCUCCAGGGGGCCUCCUGCUUCUAAUUCAGGCUCUGCCACUGGCAGUGUGGGUCCCUAACCGCCCCUCCCAGAACCGCAUUUUCCUUAUUUGUAAAACAAAAAGGGCACCAGCUACCCCCAGGGUGGCUGUGAGAACAAAAUGAGAUAACAUCUGUGGCAGUGCCUGUGUGAAACUCUGGCGGUUAUAUCAUAAUAACUUUAAUGACAACUAUAAAGCUACUGUAGCUGAGACCCUAGCCUGUGCCAGGCAGGGAGGUGGACACUUAUUUAUUCUUCACAAUGACCCUGUGAGGAAAGGGCUGUUAGUGGCCCCAAUUUCUCACUAAUGAGGGAAUUGAGGCUUUGAGAGUUCAAGGGAAGCACAGCUCCCCACUUGGGGGCUGGAGUUGGCACCUCACCAGCUCCACUUCCCUUCUGGCUUCCAGUGCCCGGGACUCAGGGCUGCCCUUGUCACUUCAGACACUGUUAAAUCAGGACAACAAGGCCCACCGCACAGAGGUUUGUGGCACAGAAUUAAGGCGUGGGUGGCACAGCGCUGCUCCCAGCUUGUGUGCUUAAGAAUGGGAUUCCCACCUCAGUUUACCAGCUGUGGACUCAGGGAAUUAUUCAUCCUCUUUAUGCCUCAGUUUUCUCAUCUGGUAAAUAAACCUCAUGGGAUUAAAUAAGCGCCCCAGGUAAAGCCUGGCACGGGUCAGGGCUCUGCUUCACUGCUUGGCUUCCGGCUUCCUGAGAUCCACGGUCCCUCAUCGUCCAGCCCUGUCAUACAGAUGAAGGAGCUUUGGGCCACUAAUUAUAAGCCUCCUUUCACUUCCUAUCCAGAUAGCUCUUAGGCAGCUCAGGAAUGGGGGGAACUUGGUUAGUCCCUAGGACAGUGGUUCUCAGAGUGUGUUUCCAGAGCAGCAGCAUCAGCAUCACUGGAGAAUUUGUUAGAAAUGCAAAUUAUUGGACCCUCGCCAGACCUACGGCAUCAGACACUCUGGGGUAGGACUCGGCAGUCUGUGCUUAACAAGCCCUCCAGGUGAUUCUGAUGCCUGCUCAACUCUGGAAGCCAGUGCCCAGAAUAUGGUCCAUUCCAUCUGAGUUUUCAAAUGUGUUGUUGUAACAUUGUGGGAAGAUUCUCUCAGAAUUUGCAACUCUCAUACGAAUCUGUACUAAUGCCUUCCACUUCUCAUUCCCCGUGUCGCUCAUUCAUGCCUUCUCCUGAUCAUACUUGCCAAAGGUUUGUUAUUUUGUUGGUUUUUAAAAAAGCCUUUGAUGUCAUUAUCCCCUUUUAAGAUGCCACCUCUUUCGUGAAUGUUGCGGUUUAAAAAAAGAUUUAUUCCUUCUUUGCUGAGUUGAAAAUUUAAUUUGUCAAUUUUCUUUCUUUUUAAAUAAAUGCACUCAAGGGCA
ensembl:lncRNA novel transcript, antisense to TLX3